rnacentral:rRNA from 1 species
AUACGGAGGGUGCAAGCGUUAUCCGGAAUCAUUGGGUUUAAAGGGUCCGCAGUCGGUCAAUUAAGUCAGAGGUGAAAUCCCAUUGCUCAACAAUGGAACUGCCUUUGAUACUGGUUGACUUGAGUUAUACGGAAGUAGAUAGAAUGUGUAGUGUAGCGGUGAAAUGCAUAGAGAUUACACAGAAUACCGAUUGCGAAGGCAGUCUACUACGUAUAUACUGACGCUGAGGGACGAAAGCGUGGGGAGCGAACAGGAUUAGAAACCCCAGUAGUCC